AUUGAACGCUGGCGGCAUGCCUUACACAUGCAAGUCGAACGGCAGCACGGGAGCAAUCCUGGUGGCGAGUGGCGAACGGGUGAGUAAUAUAUCGGAACGUGCCCAGUCGUGGGGGAUAACGCAGCGAAAGCUGUGCUAAUACCGCAUACGAUCUACGGAUGAAAGCGGGGGAUCGCAAGACCUCGCGCGAUUGGAGCGGCCGAUAUCAGAUUAGCUAGUUGGUGAGGUAAAGGCUCACCAAGGCGACGAUCUGUAGCUGGUCUGAGAGGACGACCAGCCACACUGGAACUGAGACACGGUCCAGACUCCUACGGGAGGCAGCAGUGGGGAAUUUUGGACAAUGGACGCAAGUCUGAUCCAGCCAUUCCGCGUGCAGGAUGAAGGCCCUCGGGUUGUAAACUGCUUUUGUACGGAACGAAAAGGUCUCUCUUAAUACGGGGGACUCAUGACGGUACCGUAAGAAUAAGCACCGGCUAACUACGUGCCAGCCGCCGCGGUAA
rnacentral:rRNA from 1 species